GGGGGGGGGGGGGGGGGGGGGGAGGGCAGGGAGGGCGGGGGGGGGGGGCCGGCUGUUGGGGGGGGCUCGAGUGGCGAACGGGUGGGUAACACGUGAGUAACCUGCCCGUGACUUUGGGAUAACUUCAGGAAACUGGGGCUCAUACCGGAUCGGAGCUCCUGCUGCAUGGUGGGGGUUGGAAAGUUUCGGCGGUUGGGGCUGGACUCGCGGCUGAUCAGCUUGUUGGUGGGGUAGUGGCUUACCAAGGCUUUGACGGGUAGCCGGCCUGAGAGGGUGACCGGCCACAUUGGGACUGAGAUACGGCCCAGACUCCUACGGGAGGCAGCAGUGGGGAAUAUUGCACAAUGGGCGGAAGCCUGAUGCAGCAACGCCGCGUGCGGGAUGACGGCCUUCGGGUUGUAAACCGCUUUCGCCUGUGACGAAGCGUGAGUGACGGUAAUGGGUAAAGAAGCACCGGCUAACUACGUG
rnacentral:rRNA from 1 species